AUUUGUGAGAAGUCACAGGGCGCCACUUGGGGACUGGAGCAUUUCAUGGCUUGCAGUGAGACCCCGUCUUUUGUCUGCCGUCUGAUGACCAGAAAUGCUCAACAUAGGACUGCUUCGUGAACCCGAUCUGUGGAUGACUAUCGAAAUACAAGACUUUUCUUGGCUAGAAAGGCACCCUCUUUAGAGCAACGUGGUGUAUGGACAUUUGGCCGGAACAUGUACAGACAUUGUGCCACCGUGAAGGAAGCCGGUUUGAAGGCCAGCCUGACUCACGGAGAAGAGGAAGCUGAGAAAAUCAGAGAGACGGCCCUCAAACUUGACCCCCAGCCUGAGGGAGAAAACUUGCUGAUUAGUCUUUGGGUCAAGUGGCCAUUACUGAUGUCCUCACCCCAUCGUAGAUAGAGAAGCAGGUCAUAACAGGAACUAGAGUGCAUGGAGUCUGGGUCCACAGCUGCAAGACAGGAAGUUAACCAGAUCAGAAACAUUCGUUCAGGGAUCUGAGUCAAAGAGCCAGCCACGGGUCCAAGAUACGGUAUGUUAGAUGUUAGAUUUUUAGCAACAGGGCCUUUUAUUGAUGGAUUACAGGCCAUCAGAGGAAUGGCUGGUUGGUAUUAGACGAGGAGGGCCCUGAAGAAUAGCCGAGUACCCACAUUUUCCUCUGGACGAUGCUACUUGGGCCAGGGCAAAGGCCAGAUCAUGAGUCAAGCUGACCCUGCCAGGUAUGUGCCUCUUGAAUAUGCUGCCUCAGCAGUGAUGGAAGUCAAGAGGGCACCAUGCAUCACUGCUGGUAUAUGUAUCAGUGGGGUUGGUUCCUGAAUCAGCAAUGCUGACUGUGUCACAGGUGAUGCCAUUUGGUUUUUGUUUAUGCAGAAGUACGUUUCUGAAGACUGUUAGCUCCUGUUUUAAUGUAGAUGGCUGCACACACAAGUCUGUUAAACUCCAGGAAGUAAGUGGUUGUACCUAAAUGUGGUUUUAAAAAGUUUAAGGGUACAAUGGGCUCAACAUGAGUCAGCAUAUGGGAAUAUUGCUUACGGGGCCAAUAUUAUUCUGGAACUUGAAAACAGGAACCUAGCAUGAGGUUCUUUUUCCUGUAUGCAUUAUUUUAACCAUGUAUUUUUAGAACAUGUACUAAAUCCCAGGUAAUGUGUUAUAUGCUGGCAACAUACAGGUACACGUUCCAGUCAUUUCUCAAGGAGCUCAGGAUCUAGUGGCUUCUCUGCGGGCCACAGCUAGACUCUUGUGUUCAGCUUUCAAGGAUUCUGAAAGGAGAAAUAACAACUUGAGAUAAAUGAAAAAGAAAUCGAUGAAUUGGAAGGUGACUUCAUUACCAGUUAGAGGAGAGAGACAAAAAAUAUAGCUUCUAGUUCCGCUCCCAUCACACGUAGUGAGGGGGUCUAUUCGGUGAGAGAGGUGAUAUUGACAUAGAAUACAUAUGAAGACCUUCCCUUCUUGACCUUAAAACGAUGAAAAUACUUGCAUAUAUAUGAUGCAUAUAUGUUAUGUGUGUGUAUAUUUGCGUCCCCCUCCCCCAAUCAAAUCCCUAUGUUGAAGUCUUGACCUCUAGUGUCUCAGAAUGUUACUAUGUUUAGAGGUAGGGUGCUUUAAAAAGGUAAUUAAGUUAAAUGAGGUCAUUGGGCCGGGCCCUAAUCCAAUAUGACUGGUGUCCUUAUAAAAGAAGAUGAGCUCACUGGAAGGCACAGAGGGGAAAACCAUGUGUAGACACAGGGCAGGACAGCCAUCUAGAAGCCAAAAAGGGGCCUCAGAAGAAAUGCACCCUGUUGACACUUUGAUCUCAGAUUUCUA
ensembl:lncRNA